rnacentral:rRNA from 1 species
GACGAACGCUGGCGGCGUGCUUAACACAUGCAAGUCGAACGAAAAGAGGGAAAGAGCUUGCUCUUUUCAGAAUUGAGUGGCAAACGGGUGAGUAACACGUAAACAACCUGCCUUCAGGAUGGGGACAACAGACGGAAACGACUGCUAAUACCGAAUAAGUUCCAAGAGCCGCAUGGCCCAUGGAAGAAAAGGUGGCCUCUACCUGUAAGCUAUCGCCUGAAGAGGGGUUUGCGUCUGAUUAGCUGGUUGGAGGGGUAACGGCCCACCAAGGCGACGAUCAGUAGCCGGUCUGAGAGGAUGAACGGCCACACUGGAACUGAGACACGGUCCAGACUCCUACGGGAGGCAGCAGUGGGGAAUCUUCCGCAAUGGGCGAAAGCCUGACGGAGCAACGCCGCGUGAGUGAUGACGGCCUUCGGGUUGUAAAACUCUGUGAUCCGGGACGAAAAGGCAGAGUGCGAAGAACAAACUGCAUUGACGGUACCGGAAAAGCAAGCCACGGCUAACUACGUGCCAGCAGCCGCGGUAAUACGUAGGUGGCAAGCGUUGUCCGGAAUUAUUGGGCGUAAAGCGCGCGCAGGCGGCUUCCCAAGUCCCUCUUAAAAGUGCGGGGCUUAACCCCGUGAUGGGAAGGAAACUGGGAAGCUGGAGUAUCGGAGAGGAAAGUGGAAUUCCUAGUGUAGCGGUGAAAUGCGUAGAGAUUAGGAAGAACACCGGUGGCGAAGGCGACUUUCUGGACGAAAACUGACGCUGAGGCGCGAAAGCGUGGGGAGCAAACAGG